UACGAAGGGUGCUAGCGUUGUUCGGAAUCACUGGGCGUAAAGCGCGCGUAGGCGGCUUUGCAAGUCAGGGGUGAAAUGCCAAGGCUUAACCUUGGAACUGCCUUUGAAACUGCUGAGCUGGAGUGUCGGAGGGGAUAGCGGAAUUCCUAAUGUAGUGGUGAAAUACGUAGAUAUUAGGAGGAACACCGGUGGCGAAGGCGGCUAUCUGGACGACAACUGACGCUGAGGCGCGAAAGCGUGGGGAUCAAACAGG
rnacentral:rRNA from 1 species